GUCGGGAUAGCUCAGAUAGUAGAGCGCCUGUUUGAAGCACAGGAGGUCGCCGGGGCAGUGCCGGCUCCCGACACCA
rnacentral:tRNA from 1 species